UACGUAGGGGGCAAGCGUUGUCCGGAAUUACUGGGCGUACAGCGCGCGCAGGCGGUCCACUACGUGCCGUGUGACAGACGUCGGCUUAACCGACGUAGGCCAGGGUACACGGGUGAACUUGAGGCAGAGAGAGGGAUGUGGAAUACCCGGUGGAGCGGUGAAAUGCGUAGAGAUCGGGUGGAACACCAGGGGCGAAGGCGGCACCCUGGCUCUGUACUGACGCUGAGGCGCGAGAGCGUGGGGAGCAAACCGG
rnacentral:rRNA from 1 species